ACAACUCCUCUUUUGUUUUUCAUUCUAAAAUUCUAAAUUUUUGUUCCUCUUUUGUUCUUCUUCUUCGGUGUUGGCGCGCGGCGGCCAGAGCGAAGGAGAUCAAGAGGUUCCUCAUUCUCGCUGAGGAGGAGUCCGUUAGGGCCGAGACAAAGUUGGAGGCUUCGUACUACCAGCAAUACGGAGUCGUUUUGGCACCGCCGAAGAACAAAGUAUCUGUCGUGUGUUACUCUCCCACCACCACGCGCUACACCAAGUGCAAAGCGGAUCUAGAUCCAGUGGUGGUAAAGUUAGAUUUCAAAACUUUGUUAUGAUGAUAACCAUGGUCAGUGUUUUGGAUGUUUCAAUGGUCAUGAAAGCUUUUCAAACAAUCCUAAGCUGAACAAUGUUGUUGGCCACUUGCUGCAUUCUUCAAUUCUAGCACAAUAUCAUGGAUGGAGAAUUAGUCAUAGGACACAUCAUCAAAACCAUGGCCAUGUUGAAAACGAUGAAUCUUGGCACCGGAUGAGUUGAUUUUCUUUGUUCUGUUUCUUGUGGAAACUUUGCUUUUGUCUCCAACAUUUUGUAUCUAUCAAGGGGUCUAAUUCAAAAUGUUUAAUGUGAAUCUAUUCCAUUCCCUUGAUAAUCAUCUGCCUCUAAUUUGAUUUAAUUGAUCACAAUAUUCGAUAUUUGGAAUGCAACAUUUCAGCGAAGAGGAUAAAAGGGAAUAUACUCUGGAUGAAGAAGAAAUGGAGACUCAAAAUGUGAUAUUAAAGACUAGUCGAUCUAAGAAGGAUGCAUGUAUAUUGGAGAAGUCCUUAUCUCAUAGGUAUCCAGAUUUGGUGUUCCACGAGGCCCUCAAAGAGGAGAAAGAAAAACUGCAUGUUGAAAUACGUAGAUCAAGAACCAAUAAUGACCCGGAACAAUGCAGGGUAAUUGAGCAUCUUAUUGAAGUCACAAAAAAUGUUGUCAACAUGUCACCUAACAAAAAGGUUACAAAAAUUGUUUUCAAUGAACCAACUGAUUUAAUUGCAAGGCAUAUAACUGAUAAUGCAAUAGGCUCUGAGGACCUUGAGUUGGAAUCUGCAUAUAAAAGUCAAUCAGAAUGGAAGACUGAUCUCUUUGGUUUCUGUAGGGAUCCUUGCUUAUGUAAAUUUAACCCCAUCUUGUAUAGAUUCUAUUUCAAAAAAUGGUAAAUGAUAAACUUGUUAUGUGGUAGCUUGCAAGUUGCAAUUCAACAAUCAAUGCCUCUAUUUUUUAAUUUCAUGUCUAGUAAAACUUUUCCUACUAAGACAGUUGGUAGAUGAUAGUUGCAUUUGCAAGACCUCAAUAAAUAAAGGUGCUUGGUUCAUCCAAAAAGGCAUUGGAGCAAGAAGCAAUAAAUAGUAGAGCUUCAAACAAAGUGAGUGAGAAAAAAAUUAGGUUUUGUGAAGGAACUCUAUAGUGUAGUAUAGGUGGUACACUUGGAAUUUAGGGUACUCUUUAGUUUUCUCUAAAUUAGGAAACACUAUAUCUCAUGUCUCCUGUAAUAGAAUGUUAAAAGAAGACAACUAAUUAUCUUUAUAAUAGUAGAGUAAUUUUUAGAGAUUU